rnacentral:rRNA from 1 species
AAUCAACGCUGGCGGCGUGCCUAACACAUGCAAGUCGAACGCGAAAGGGGGCUUCGGCUCCUGAGUAGAGUGGCGUCCGGGUGAGUAACACGUAGGUAAUCUACCUUCGGGUGGGGAAGUAACCAGUCGAAGAUUGGCUAAUACCGCAUAAUGCAGCGGCACCUAAUGGUGAUUAGUUGUUAAAGCGGGGGAGUCGUAAGACCUCGCGCCUGAAGAGGAGCCUGCGGCAGAUUAGCUAGUUGGUGAGGUAAUGGCUCACCAAGGCAUCGAUCUGUAGCUGGUCUGAGAGGACGGCCAGCCACACUGGCACUGACACACGGGCCAGACUCCUACGGGAGGCAGCAGUGGGG